GGUCGGUUAGCUCAGUUGGUUAGAGCGUGGUGCUAAUAGCUUCCUGUCAACGCCAAGGUCGCGGGUUCGACCCCCGUACUGACCA
rnacentral:tRNA from 1 species